rnacentral:rRNA from 1 species
UACGUAGGGUGCGAGCGUUAAUCGGAAUUACUGGGCGUAAAGCGUGCGCAGGCGGUUCGUUGUGUCGGUGGUGAAAGCCCCGGGCUUAACCUGGGAAUGGCCAUGGAAACUGGCGAACUGGAGUGUGGCAGAGGGGGGUGGAAUUCCGCGUGUAGCAGUGAAAUGCGUAGAGAUGCGGAGGAACACCGAUGGCGAAGGCAGCCCCCUGGGCUAGCACUGACGCUCAGGCACGAAAGCGUGGGGAGCAAACAGGG